CCUACGGGAGCUGCAGUGGGGAACAUUGCACAAUGGGCGCAAGCCUGAUGCCGCCAUGCCGCGUGUGUGAAGAAGGCCUUCGGGUUGUAAAGCACUUUCAGCGGGGAGGAAGGCGGUGAGGUUAAUAACCUCAUCGAUUGACGUUACCCGCAGAAGAAGCACCGGCUAACUCCGUGCCAGCAGCCGCGGUAAUACGGAGGGUGCAAGCGUUAAUCGGAAUUACUGGGCGUAAAGCGCACGCAGGCGGUCUGUCAAGUCGGAUGUGAAAUCCCCGGGCUCAACCUGGGAACUGCAUUCGAAACUGGCAGGCUAGAGUCUUGUAGAGGGGGGUAGAAUUCCAGGUGUAGCGGUGAAAUGCGUAGAGAUCUGGAGGAAUACCGGUGGCGAAGGCGGCCCCCUGGACAAAGACUGACGCUCAGGUGCGAAAGCGUGGGGAGCAAACAGGAUUAGAUACCCGAGAGUC
rnacentral:rRNA from 1 species